rnacentral:rRNA from 1 species
ACGGGAGGCAGCAGUGGGGAAUAUUGGGCAAUGGGCGAAAGCCUGACCCAGCAACGCCGCGUGAAGGCAGACGGUCUUCGGAUUGUAAACUUCUUUUAUGAGGGACGAAGGACGUGACGGUACCUCAUGAAUAAGCCACGGCUAACUACGUGCCAGCAGCCGCGGUAAUACGUAGGUGGCAAGCGUUAUCCGGAUUUACUGGGUGUAAAGGGCGCGUAGGCGGGGAUGCAAGUCAGAUGUGAAAUCUAUUGGCUUAACUCAUAACCUGCAUUUGAAACUGUAUUUCUUGAGUGCUGGAGAGGUAGAUGGAAUUCCUUUUGUAGCGGUGAAAUGCGUAGAUAUAAGGAAGAACACCAGUGGCGAAGGCGAUCUACUGGACAGUAACUGACGCUGAGGCGCGAAAGCGUGGGGAGCAAACAGGAUUAGAUACCCUGGUA